UACAGAGGUGGCAAGCGUUGUUCGGAAUUACUGGGCGUAAAGGGCGCGUAGGCGGCCAACUAAGUCAGACGUGAAAUCCCUCGGCUUAACCGGGGAACUGCGUCUGAUACUGGAUGGCUUGAGUUUGGGAGAGGGAUGCGGAAUUCCAGGUGUAGCGGUGAAAUGCGUAGAUAUCUGGAGGAACACCGGCGGCGAAGGCGGCAUCCUGGACCAACACUGACGCUGAGGAGCGAAAGCCAGGGGAGCAAACGGGG
rnacentral:rRNA from 1 species